rnacentral:rRNA from 1 species
UACUUGCUUUUACAAGGCGAAACCGCGAAUGGCUCAUUAAAUCAGUUAUGGUUCACUAGAUCGUACAGUUUACAUGGAUAACUGUGGUAAUUCUAGAGCUAAUACAUGCACUCAGCUCGCUUCUUCGGGAGCGAGCGCAGUUAUUAGAAUAAAACCAAUCCGGCCUUCGGGUCGGUAAAAUUGGUGACUCUGAAUAACCGAAGCGGAGCGCAUGGUCUCGUACCGGCGCCAGAUCUUUCAAGUGUCUGACUUAUCAGCUCGUAGUUAGGUUACGUUCCUAACUAGGCUAUUACGGGUAACGGGGUGUCAGGGCCCGACACCGGAGAGGGAGCCUGAGAAACGGCUACCACAUCCAAGGAAGGCAGCAGGCGCGCAAAUUACCCACUCCCGGCACGGGGAGGUAGUGACGAAAAAUAACGAUGCGAGAGCUUUUAGCUCCUCGUAAUCGGAAUGGGUACACUUUAAAUCCUUUAACGAGGAUCUAUUGGAGGGCAAGUCUGGUGCCAGCAGCCGCGGUAAUUCCAGCUCCAAUAGCGUAUAUUAAAGUUGCUGCGGUUAAAAAGCUCGUAGUUGGAUCUGGGUAGUCGAUGAGCGGUGCGCUUUACGGCGUAACUGUUCGUUCGGCACCACAAGCCGGUUAUGUCUUGCAUGCUCUUCACUGAGUGUGCUUGGCGACCGGAACGUUUACUUUGAAAAAAUUAGAGUGCUCAAAGCAGGCGUAUGGCCUUGCAUAAUGGUGCAUGGAAUAAUAGAAUAGGACCUCGGUUCUAUUUUGUUGGUUUUCGGAGCUCGAGGUAAUGAUUAAUAGGAACAGACGGGGGCAUUCGUAUUGCGGCGUUAGAGGUGAAAUUCUUGGAUCG